rnacentral:rRNA from 1 species
CCACCUUUGACAUGUACGGAAUUCGCCAGAGAUGGCUUAGUGCUCGAAAGAGAACCGUAACACAGGUGCUGCAUGGCUGUCGUCAGCUCGUGUCGUGAGAUGUUGGGUUAAGUCCCGCAACGAGCGCAACCCUUGUCAUUAGUUGCUACAUUUAGUUGGGCACUCUAAUGAGACUGCCGGUGACAAACCGGAGGAAGGUGGGGAUGACGUCAAGUCCUCAUGGCCCUUAUAGGUGGGGCUACACACGUCAUACAAUGGCUGGUACAAAGGGUUGCCAACCCGCGAGGGGGAGCUAAUCCCAUAAAACCAGUCGUAGUCCGGAUCGCAGUCUGCAACUCGACUGCGUGAAGUCGGAAUCGCUAGUAAUCGUGGAUCAGAAUGUCACGGUGAAUA